rnacentral:rRNA from 1 species
UACUUAGUGGCAGACGGGUGAGUAGCAUGUGGGUAUCUACCCUUUGGCCUGGAAUAACACGAGGAAACUUGUGCUAAUACCGGAUAAGUCUUUACGGAGAAAGCUUUAUGCACCAUUGGAUGAGCCCGCACUUGAUUAGUUUGUUGGUAGGGUAAUGGCCUACCAAGACUAUGAUCAAUAGCUGAUUUGAGAGGAUGAUCAGCCACAUUGGGACUGAGACACGGCCCAAACUCCUACGGGAGGCAGCAGUGGGGAAUCUUGCACAAUGGAGGAAACUCUGAUGCAGCGAUGCCGCGUGAGUGAAGAAGGCCUUUGGGUUGUAAAGCUCUUUCGUCGGGGAAGAAAAUGACUGUACCCGAAUAAGAAGGUCCGGCUAACUUCGUGCCAGCAGCCGCGGUAAUACGAAGGGACCUAGCGUAGUUCGGAAUUACUGGGCUUAAAGAGUUCGUA